rnacentral:SRP_RNA from 1 species
GGAGGUCGGCGGUGGACGGCUCUCUCGCCAACCCGGUCAGGUCCGGAAGGAAGCAGCCGUAACGAGUUUCGAGCCGGGUCGCAAUGCCGGCCUCCCAC